rnacentral:rRNA from 1 species
GAUGAACGCUGGCGGCGUGCUUAACACAUGCAAGUCGAACGGAAAGGCCCAAGCUUGCUUGGGUACUCGAGUGGCGAACGGGUGAGUAACACGUGGGUGAUCUGCCCUGCACUUCGGGAUAAGCCUGGGAAACUGGGUCUAAUACCGGAUAGGACCACUUCUUGGAUGUUGUGGUGGAAAGUUUUUUCGGUGUGGGAUGAGCUCGCGGCCUAUCAGCUUGUUGGUGGGGUAAUGGCCUACCAAGGCGUCGACGGGUAGCCGGCCUGAGAGGGUGUACGGCCACAUUGGGACUGAGAUACGGCCCAGACUCCUACGGGAGGCAGCAGUGGGGAAUAUUGCACAAUGGGCGCAAGCCUGAUGCAGAGACGCCGCGUGGGGGAUGACGGCCUUCGGGUUGGAAACUCCUUUCGCUAGGGACGAAGCGUUUUGUGACGGUACCUGGAGAAGAAGCACCGGCUAACUACGUG